rnacentral:rRNA from 1 species
GAUGAACGCUGGCGGCGUGCUUAACACAUGCAAGUCGAACGGAAAGGCUCCUGCUUGCAGGGGUACUCGAGUGGCGAACGGGUGAGUAACACAUGGGUGAUCUGCCCUGCACUUCGGGAUAAGCCUGGGAAACUGGGUCUAAUACCGGAUAGGACGAUGGUUUGGAUGCCAUUGUGGAAAGUUUUUUCGGUGUGGGAUGAGCUCGCGGCCUAUCAGCUUGUUGGUGGGGUAAUGGCCUACCAAGGCGUCGACGGGUAGCCGGCCUGAGAGGGUGUACGGCCACAUUGGGACUGAGAUACGGCCCAGACUCCUACGGGAGGCAGCAGUGGGGAAUAUUGCACAAUGGGCGCAAGCCUGAUGCAGCGACGCCGCGUGGGGGAUGACGGCCUUCGGGUUGUAAACUCCUUUCGCUAGGGACGAAGCGCAAGUGACGGUACCUGGAGAAGAAGCACCGGCUAACUACGUG